rnacentral:rRNA from 1 species
GAACCGUACAAACGUUAUUCGGGAAUCACUGGGCUUAAAGGGUGCGUAGGCGGCUCUGCAAGUUGGGGUGUGAAAGCCCUCGGGCUCAACCGAGGAAUUGCGCCCAAAACUGCCGGGCUUGAGGGAGACAGAGGUGAGCGGAACUUAGGGUGGAGCGGUGAAAUGCGUUGAUAUCCUAAGGAACACCAGUGGCGAAAGCGGCUCACUGGGUCUCUUCUGACGCUGAGGCACGAAAGCUAGGGGAGCGAACGGGAUUAGAUACCCCGGUAGUCCUAGCCGUAAACGAUGAGCACUGGGUCGGAGGAUCCUCCAUAAUCUUCUGAUCGUAGCGAAAGUGUUAAGUGCUCCGCCUGGGGAGUAUAGUCGCAAGGCUG